rnacentral:tRNA from 1 species
GGGGGCAUAGCUCAGUUGGUAGAGCAUUACGCUGGCAGCGUAAGGGUCAGGAGUUCGAGUCUCCUUGCCUCCA